GGGAUGUGAUGAGUGGUUGGUUCUCGCAAAAAGGAUGCGAGAUGUGUGUUCGCUCCAACCCUGGUUGCGACACUCGGGCACUCCCCAUCUUGACCAAUCUGAUCCC